rnacentral:misc_RNA from 1 species
UGAAAGAUACCCUGGAACGUGCAAGGGAGCCAAACCUGAAUUUGAAAGCCUAUCUCCAAAAUGCAUAUAUGCAUCCAGUUUUCAAAGGUGAUGAUGACGAGGAAGAUGAAGAUAUAAGUGAAAAAUUGGAGAUUGAGAGUGUGCUAGUCCCUACAAAACGCCAAUCGCGAAGAAAUACGCCUGUGCCUAGCAGAAUUAGUGGUGCAUCUUCACCAUCAUCUUUGACAGAUGUUAUUAAGGAACAUCCAGAGCCUUAAAAACUCCUACGCAUGAGCCUUUAAAUCUCACUAUACAUUGCAGCUUACUAGGCCAGAGUAGCGACAUUGUAGAAUAAAGGAAGGAGAAAGAAAAGAGGCCAAGUUACAAUCAUUCAAAUAUACCAACAAGAAAUGACAGGCUCUGGAUUGUGGUAAAUUGACAUCUACUCAAGUAUGAAUGUAGAUAUUUUGAGUGUAUGAUAAAAAGUAGAUUUUUUUGUGGGCAUUUCUCAUAUUGCUUUGUAUUGUUACCAUUGGAAAAAGAACAUCUG